rnacentral:rRNA from 1 species
UACGAAGGGGGCUAGCGUUGUUCGGAAUUACUGGGCGUAAAGCGCACGUAGGCGGAUCGAUCAGUCAGGGGUGAAAUCCCAGGGCUCAACCCUGGAACUGCCUUUGAUACUGUCGAUCUGGAGUAUGGAAGAGGUAAGUGGAACUCCUAGUGUAGAGGUGGAAUUCGUAGAUAUUAGGAAGAACACCAGUGGCGAAGGCGGCGACCUGGUCCAUUACUGACGCUGAGGCGCGACAGCGUGGGGAGCAAACAGG